rnacentral:rRNA from 1 species
AUAGGUCAAGUUAUUAAGGGCGUAGGGCGAAUGCCUUGGCACCAAGAGCCGAUGAAGGACGGGAUAAGCACCGAUAUGCUUCGGGGAGUCGCAAAUAGACUGUGAUCCGGAGAUUUCCGAAUGGGGAAACCUACUUGAGUAGACCUCAAGUAUCAUGCACUGAAUAAAUAGGUGUAUGAAGGAAUACCAGGGGAACUGAAACAUCUAAGUACCCUGAGGAGAAGAAAGAAACAUCGAUUUCCUAAGUAGCGGCGAGCGAACGGGAAAGAGCCCAAACCAGUACUUGUACUGGGGUUAAGGACCAGCAAAACGGAAGAGGUAUCCUAGCAGAAGAGGAUUGGAAAAUCCCACCAAAGAAGGUGAAAGUCCAGUAUGCGAAAGGAGAAGACUCCAGCUGGUAUCCAGAGUACCAUGGGGCACGUGAAACCCUGUGGGAAGUAGGGAGGACCACCUCCCAAGGCUAAAUACUCCUUGGUGACCGAUAGAGAAUAGUACCGUGAGGGAAAGGUGAAAAGAACCCCGGGAGGGGAGUGAAAUAGAACCUGAAACCCUACGCCUACAAGCAGUGGAAGCACAUUAUUAGUGUAACCACGUACUUUUUGUAGAACGGGCCAGCGAGUUAUGGUAUAGAGCAAGGUUAAUGACUUAAGGUCAGGAGCCGUAGGGAAACCAAGUCUUAAUAGGGCGAAAAGUUCUAUGCUAUAGACCCGAAACCGGGUGACCUAUCCAUGGGCAGAGUGAAGUUGAAGUAAAAUUCAAUGGAGGCUCGAACUCGUUAGCGUUUAAAAGCUAUGGGAUGACCUGUGGAUAGGGGUGAAAAGCCAAUCGAACUCGGAGAUAGCUGGUUCUCCUCGAAAUAGCUUUAGGGCUAGCCUCAAGUAAAGUGUAAUGGAGGUAGAGCACUGAAUGGUCUAGGGGCGCAUAGCGUUACCAAAACCUAUCAAACUCCGAAUGCCAUAAACAUAUACUUGGGAGUCAGACUAUGUGGGAUAAGCUUCAUAGUCGAAAGGGAAAGAGCCCAGACCACCAGCUAAGGUCCCUAAAUUCUGAUUAAGUGAUAAAGGAUGUGAGGUUUCACAGACAACCAGGAUGUUGGCUUAGAAGCAGCCAUACAUUUAAAGAGUGCGUAAUAGCUCACUGGUCGAGAGACCUUGCGCCGAAGAUUUCCGGGACUCAAAUCAGAUACCGAAGCUGUGGGAUUAGUGUAAACUAAUCGGUAGAGGAGCAUUGUGUAUGGGUAGAAGCUAUACCGAAAGGAGUGGUGGACUAUACACAAGAGAGAAUGCUGGCAUAAGUAGCGCAAGGUAUGUGAGAAUCAUACCCGUCGAAAGCCCAAGGUUUCCUGAGGAAGGCUCGUCCACUCAGGGUAAGUCGGGACCUAAGCCCAGGCUGAAAAGCGUAGGCGAUGGACAACAGGUUGAAAUUCCUGUACUAGUUACAAGCGUUUGAGAGAAGGAGUGACGCAGGAGGAUAGGCUGAGCGUGCCGUUGGUAGAGCACGUCUAAGCAUGUAGGGAGUUAAGAUAGGCAAAUCCGUCUUAACAAUCCUGAGAAGUGAUGGGGAUCGAAAAACAAGUAGAGAAGCAGCUGACUCCACACUGCCAAGAAAAGCUUCUAUCGAGCAAGUAACUACCCGUACCGCAAACCGACACAGGUAGGCGAGGAGAGAAUCCUAAGACGAGCGGAAGAACCAUUGUUAAGGAACUCGGCAAAAUAGCCCCGUAACUUAGGGAGAAGGGGUGCCGGUUGAAGUAUAGAUUAUACAUUGAAAGCUUUGAUCGGCCGCAGUGAAUAGGCCCAAGCGACUGUUUACCAAAAACACAAGUCUCUGCUAAGUCGAAAGACGAAGUAUAGGGGCUGACACCUGCCCGGUGCUGGAAGGUUAAGGGGAAGGGUUAGCAUAAGCGAAGCUCUGAACUUAAGCCCCAGUAAACGGCGGCCGUAACUAUAACGGUCCUAAGGUAGCGAAAUUCCUUGUCGGGUAAGUUCCGACCCGCACGAAAGGUGUAACGAUUUGGGCACUGUCUCAACAAUGGAUCCGGUGAAAUUGUAGUACUCGUGAAGAUGCGAGUUACCCGCGACAGGACGGAAAGACCCCGUGGAGCUUUACUGCAGGCUGACAUUGGAUUUUGGCAUUGCAUGUACAGGAUAGGUGGGAGACUGAGAAACCAGUGCGCCAGUAUUGGUGGAGUCGCCCUUGGGAUACCACUCUUGUAAUGCUGAAAUUCUAACCUGGUACCAUGAAACUGGUAUGGGGACACUGUCAGUUGGGCAGUUUGACUGGGGCGGUCGCCUCCUAAAAAGUAACGGAGGCGCUCAAAGGUUCCCUCAGCACGGUCGGAAAUCGUGCGAAGAGUGUAAAGGCAAAAGGGAGCUUAACUGCGACACCAACAAGUGGAGCAGAAACGAAAGUUGGACUUAGUGAUCCGGUGGUUCCGAGUGGAAGGGCCAUCGCUCAACGGAUAAAAGCUACCCCGGGGAUAACAGGCUUAUCUCCCCCAAGAGUCCACAUCGACGGGGAGGUUUGGCACCUCGAUGUCGGCUCGUCUCAUCCUGGGGCUGGAGUAGGUCCCAAGGGUUGGGCUGUUCGCCCAUUAAAGAGGCACGCGAGCUGGGUUCAGAACGUCGUGAGACAGUUCGGUCCCUAUCCGUCGUGGGCGUAGGAAAUUUGAGAGGAGCUGUCCUUAGUACGAGAGGACCGGGAUGGACAGACCGCUGGUGUAUCAGUUGUCAUGCCAAUGGCACGGCUGAGUAGCUAAGUCUGGAAGGGAUAAGUGCUGAAGGCAUCUAAGCACGAAGCCCCCCUCAAGAUGAGAUUUCCCACUUUUAAAGGUAAGACUCCAAGAAGACCACUUGGUAGAUAGGUCUCAGGUGUAAGAGUAGCAAUACUUUAAGCUAAGAGAUACUAAUAAGUCGAGGACUUGACCUAAAACAUGU